GACGAACGCUGGCGGCGUGCUUAACACAUGCAAGUCGAACGGUAAGGCCCUUCGGGGUACACGAGUGGCGAACGGGUGAGUAACACGUGGGUGAUCUGCCCUGCACUUCGGGAUAAGCCUGGGAAACUGGGUCUAAUACCGGAUAGGACUCCGGACUGCAUGGUCUGGGGUGGAAAGCUUUUGCGGUGUGGGAUGGGCCCGCGGCCUAUCAGCUUGUUGGUGGGGUGAUGGCCUACCAAGGCGACGACGGGUAGCCGGCCUGAGAGGGUAACCGGCCACACUGGGACUGAGAUACGGCCCAGACUCCUACGGGAGGCAGCAGUGGGGAAUAUUGCACAAUGGGCGCAAGCCUGAUGCAGCGACGCCGCGUGAGGGAUGACGGCCUUCGGGUUGUAAACCUCUUUCAGCAUCGACGAAGCGAAAGUGACGGUAGAUGCAGAAGAAGGACCGGCCAACUACGUGCCAGCCGCCGCGGUAA
rnacentral:rRNA from 1 species